rnacentral:lncRNA from 1 species
CCGAGAGCCGCGGGCCAGCGCCGCUGCCGCUCCCCGAGCGCGGAGCGAGGCAGGAGCACAAACCCGGCGAAACCCCGAGCGGGCUCCGAGCGACAAAAAGCGCGGCCGGCAGCCUCCGCCGCGAUGCACGCACCUCCCAGCCCGCUCUCGGCGGCUCUCUCCCUAUUUAAAGGCUGAUGUGGUGUUUAAAUGGAGAGGCGGUGACGUGGGGCUGGAAAGCACCUUCCCAUCCUAGCAGAGUCUAUAUUAGAGAGCGGCAAUGGCUCUAUAUAAACAGGGCGGCCGCAGGGAGGAGGAACACAAGGAGCGGGCAGGCAGAAAGGCGAGGGAAGCCAUGAUGGAUCCGAGCGCCACAAGCAGGGCCGCGCCUGCCGCCGGACGCCGGUUCAGAAGGAAGUGAAUCUGCUGAUAACCAAACCAAGCAACAUACAGGAAAAAUGCCUAUUGCAGGAGGACAAGAUUAUGAGAUGAGGACUGCUUUCAGAUUUGGCUGUGAUGGUGCCCAGAUGGUGAAGAAGCACAAAAGAGAUGGACCGAACAGUGGCUUUGGAUGCAGAAGUAGUGGGCAUGUCAAAUUCCACAUCUACGUGGCGGACAAAACUGGAAGGCACUUCUCGGUCAGAGCCAAGCUCUAGGUGACAGAAGAAGCAGUGUGGAUGGCCAGAAGCUGGAAAAAGAGAGCAAACAGACAUGAAAGUUGUCUUUUUGUUGAGAGAAGAUUGCAUGUAGGUAAAAGCAGCAUCAUGAAACAGUAAGAAACUGAGAAUCUGCCUGGGCGAAAUACUUUGAGUCAAAUGUCAGGAUCUUAUCUGUUUUAAUGCCAUUGAAACUCCAUACUCUGGAGUAUCAGUUUGGUUUAAUUAGUAAAUAAAUUAAAUGAACUGCAAAAGAAUGACUGUCAAUCAGUCCAAUUUGCUUUCAGUGUGUGAAAAUUCAAGAUGUAAAUCAACCACCAUAGGUAAAGAUAUUUUCCCUCUUCUCAUUACCUCACUCUAUGUAACAGGCUAAGAACAGUGUGGCAUAUUCUUCUAAAAUAUCGUGUAUUGAUAGUAAGUGAAGGUAGAUUUGACAGAUAUUUCAUAGUUAUUUUUGAUAUGGUUAUCCCCAUUUAUUGUGAAAGCAAACAUACUGGAUAACAUUAAACUUUCCUGGGUUCAGAAAGCAUAUUUGUGCAUAUCUUGGAAGUAACAAUUUAUUCAUCAUUCUAACCCUCCACAAGAUGGCCAAUCAUUAAAGAUGGAAAGGUGAGAAACCAACCAUGUUUAGCUCUGUCAUCAAUAACAACUUUUGCUAUUAUAUUCUUCCAUUUGUUCUGUUGGACAGCAGAAAUGUUAAAAAAAAAAUGAAGUAGGAACUGCUAGUUAAGUUAGAUCUGUUAUAUUUCUGACUGCUGUGAACCCCCUAAGCUCUUGAGCAAGCC